UGGGGAAUCUUGGACAAUGGGCGCAAGCCUGAUCCAGCGACGCCGCGUGGGUGACGAAGGCCUUCGGGUUGUAAAGCCCUUUUCCCGGGGACGAUGAUGACGGUACCCGGGGAAUAAGCACCGGCUAACUCCGUGCCAGCAGCCGCGGUAAGACGGAGGGUGCUAGCGUUGUUCGGAAUGACUGGGCGUAAAGGGCGCGUAGGCGGCCGGUUGCGUCGGAUGUGAAAGCCCGGGGCUCAACCCCGGAACGGCAUCCGAUACGGGCUGGCUCGAGACCGAGAGAGGUGAGUGGAAUACCCAGUGUAGAGGUGAAAUUCGUAGAUAUUGGGUGGAACACCGGUGGCGAAAGCGGCUCACUGGCUCGGUUCUGACGCUGAGGCGCGAAAGCGUGGGGAGCAAACAGG
rnacentral:rRNA from 1 species